UGCUGGGAAUGGUUCAGGUAAUGGGGCCAUGGAGGGAGAGUCUGAUAUGCACAGGUGGUUUGUGUUUGCUAAUUACUCUCUUCCUUUAUCUCUGUCUUGGAGCUCAGACCCCAGGAGGAAAACACAGCAGAGCAAAGGAGUGUGACACAGCUUUCCAUGGCUGGCUGAUAAGUGGAUGGAAAAACUGGAGUGUGCAAAUCAGAAGCAGAAACUUUUUAAUGAGCCUGAACUAAAUUUGGGGUCCUAAUUUACAGUUUCACAGCCAGACUUCUCUCUCAUGCAGAUGAUGUUCAGCAGUGCUGCAGUGGCGUAUACCUGAACCAGGGGAGCAGAUUUGCAGACACUGCUGGUUGGAAAUGGUGUCAGCGGUUCAUUAAUGAUCGGCCCUCUCAAAUCAGAUCAGCUCGGCUCAUAAAUAUGUGUUGCAAUCUAUCCAUGUGACUGCUCUCAUAUAAAACAGUGCUGUAUUCCUGCUUGUUGAACAUGUGGAAUUUAUAUUAUUAAGUGUUCAUCUACGAUGGUGACAUUCACACUCUGUCACUGUAGCUCUGAGGAGACAUUAUAAACAUUAAUGCCUUUUAUUGAUUCAGUGCAACUUCACAGUGUUGUUGCUGUGGGAAGAGAAAAGAUUUUACAUUUACACUAUCAACACCUUUGCACUUAUCAUCAACACAGAGCCACUGUCAGCUCUGUCUUUCUCAGAUUUACAUAAUAGAAAAAUAUCUUAUGAGGAAAAUGCGUUUCUACAUUUAUCUUAGACUCUCUGCUUUGUACCAUAUUUAGAUUUAAUUUUUUUUGAGUUCAUCACUUUUUUUGUAUUUUCUGUUCUGCCUUCCUGAGCUAUUUUUUUCUGAUAUAGUGCUUAUUUUACUAUAAUGCUUAUUUUACUAUAGUGCUUAUUUUACUGAGCUAAGAUGUUUUUUCUGCUCAGAAUCUUUUGCAAAAUUUAAA